rnacentral:tRNA from 1 species
GCCUAUAUGGGCUAAAGGAAAGUCGCUUGCCUUUAUUGCAAUGAUAGUAUUGCCUUUAAAGCAAGAGAUGUUUGUUCGAAUCAAACUAUAGGCU